rnacentral:rRNA from 1 species
AAAUUGAAGAGUUUGAUCAUGGCUCAGAUUGAACGCUGGUGGCAGGCCUAACACAUGCAAGUCGAACGGUAACAGGAAGCAGCUUGCUGCUUCGCUGACGAGUGGCGGACGGGUGAGUAAUGUCUGGGAAACUGCCUGAUGGAGGGGGAUAACUACUGGAAACGGUAGCUAAUACCGCAUAA